AUUGAACGCUGGCGGCAUGCCUUACACAUGCAAGUCGAACGGCAGCACGGGGGGCAACCCUGGUGGCGAGUGGCGAACGGGUGAGUAACAUAUCGGAACAUACCCUAGAGUGGGGGAUAACGUAGCGAAAGUUACGCUAAUACCGCAUACGAUCUAAGGAUGAAAGUGGGGGAUCUUCGGACCUCAUGCUCAUGGAGUGGCCGAUAUCUGAUUAGCUAGUUGGUGAGGUAAAGGCUCACCAAGGCGACGAUCAGUAGCUGGUUUGAGAGAACGACCAGCCACACUGGAACUGAGACACGGUCCAGACUCCUACGGAGGCAGCAGUGGGGAAUUUUGGACAAUGGGGCAACCCUGAUCCAGCAAUGCCGCGUGAGUGAAGAAGG
rnacentral:rRNA from 1 species